rnacentral:rRNA from 1 species
UACGUAGGUGGCGAGCGUUGUCCGGAAUUACUGGGUGUAAAGCGCGUGUAGGCGGCAGGCCAAGUUGGUGGUGAAAGCGCCCGGCUCAACUGGGCGAGGUCCAUGGAAACUGGUCAGCUGGAGGACGGUAGAGGCGAGUGGAAUUCCCGGUGUAGUGGUGAAAUGCGUAGAGAUCGGGAGGAACACCAGUGGCGAAGGCGGCCUUCUGGACCAGCACUGACACUCAAGCACGAAAGCGUGGGGAGCAAACAGG